CCUCAUGGCUUGGUCACAGUGUC
rnacentral:miRNA from 8 species